rnacentral:tRNA from 1 species
GGUUAUAGCUUAGUGGUAGAGUGCUUGUCUAGCAUGCGUGAGGCACAGAGUUUGAUUCUCAGCACCA